UGCAAGGCUACAGAAUUGAGCAGAGGC
rnacentral:piRNA from 1 species